GAAAUGCGAUAAUUAAUGUGAAUUGCAGAAUUCAGUGAAUCAUCGAGUCUUUGAACGCACAUUGCGCCCCCUGGUACUCCGGGGGGCAUGCCUGUCCGAGCGUCAUUGCUGCCCUCAAGCACGGCUUGUGUGUUGGGCUUCCGUCCCUGGCAACGGGGACGGGCCCAAAAGGCAGUGGCGGCACCAUGUCUGGUCCUCGAGCGUAUGGGGCUUUGUCACCCGCUCCCGUAGGUCCAGCUGGCAGCUAGCCUCGCAACCAAUCUUUUUAACCAGGUUGACCUCGGAUCAGGUAGGGAUACCCGCUGAACUUAAGC
rnacentral:misc_RNA from 1 species